rnacentral:rRNA from 1 species
GUGCUUGCACCUGGUGGCGAGUGGCGAACGGGUGAGUAAUACAUCGGAACAUGUCCUGUAGUGGGGGAUAGCCCGGCGAAGGCCGGAUUAAUACCGCAUACGAUCUACGGAUGAAAGCGGGGGACCUUCGGGCCUCGCGCUAUAGGGUUGGCCGAUGGCUGAUUAGCUAGUUGGUGGGGUAAAGGCCUACCAAGGCGACGAUCAGUAGCUGGUCUGAGAGGACGACCAGCCACACUGGGACUGAGACACGGCCCAGACUCCUACGGGAGGCAGCAGUGGGGAAUUUUGGACAAUGGGCGAAAGCCUGAUCCAGCAAUGCCGCGUGUGUGAAGAAGGCCUUCGGGUUGUAAAGCACUUUUGUCCGGAAAGAAAUCCUUGGUUCUAAUAUAGCCGGGGGAUGACGGUACCGGAAGAAUAGGCACCGGCUAACUACGUGCCAGCAGCCGCGGUAAUACGUAGGGUGCGAGCGUUAAUCGGAAUUACUGGGCGUAAAGCGUGCGCAGGCGGUUUGCUAAGACCGAUGUGAAAUCCCCGGGCUCAACCUGGGAACUGCAUUGGUGACUGGCAGGCUAGAGUAUGGCAGAGGGGGGUAGAAUUCCACGUGUAGCAGUGAAAUGCGUAGAGAUGUGGAGGAAUACCGAUGGCGAAGGCAGCCCCCUGGGCCAAUACUGACGCUCAUGCACGAAAGCGUGGGGAGCAAACAGG